rnacentral:rRNA from 1 species
ACGGAGGGUGCGAGCGUUAAUCGGAAUAACUGGGCGUAAAGGGCACGCAGGCGGACUUUUAAGUGAGGUGUGAAAUCCCCGGGCUUAACCUGGGAAUUGCAUUUCAGACUGGGAGUCUAGAGUACUUUAGGGAGGGGUAGAAUUCCACGUGUAGCGGUGAAAUGCGUAGAGAUGUGGAGGAAUACCGAAGGCGAAGGCAGCCCCUUGGGAAUGUACUGACGCUCAUGUGCGAAAGCGUGGGGAGCAAACAGG